rnacentral:lncRNA from 1 species
GCACAUUGAUUGAUAACGGCACCAAAUUGACAAACAAACAUCGACAACAAGCAUAACGUAUUUGAGAAGCUUCCAACUUAAAAUAGCAAUCAAAACUCAGAGAGUAAAUAUAGACCACUUAAGAAGCAAGAAGAACCAAAUAAGCCAAAGAGGCCCUUUUACCCUCAAAGAAGGGAGCUCGCUUUCUGAAAAAUCCUUUAUUUUCACUUGUAAAUGAAAACUAAUGAUUCCAUUUUCACUUUGAUAUUCCAAUGAUUAGAUAAACUAAGUUCUCCAAAAGGAACUUAUAAAAUAAUCCUAGAAAAAUAAAUCAUAAUUGAAAAAAAAAUUUCUGGGUAACAAAUUCACCUAGAAAAAUACACAGCUUUGAAUAUGUGGGUUUAACAGCUGUGUCACUAAAGAAACUCAAUUUUAAAAUUUUUUAUGGGAACUUCUAAUCCAUUGUUUUCGAUUACUAAACAAAGCACAAUCCAGAAAAGGGUAUUUAUAGUGAAAGCAUAAGGAGUAGUUUUGAAAAUAGAAAGGAAUUACCUUGGAAGGAUCUACCUUCUGAAAAUUCUUGACG